CCCUUAGAUGUUCUGGGCCGCACGCGUGCUACACUGAGUGGAUCAGCGGGUCAGGUUGCGCGAAAGUGUUUCCAAUCUUUAAAUCCGCUCGUGAUGGGGAUUGACGGUUGCAAUUUUCCGUCAUGAACGAGGAAUACCUUGUAAGCGCGGGUCAUCAUCCUGCGCUGAAUACGUCCCUGCCCUUUGUACACACCGCCCGUCGCUCCUACCGAUUGAGUGGUCCGGUGAGGCUUUGGGAUCUGAGCGGAAAGAGCGUUUCGCUGUUUCUGCCCGGAAAACUCAGUCGAACCUUAUCAUUUAGAGGAAGGAGAAGUCGUAACA
rnacentral:rRNA from 1 species